UUGGAGGGGGUGGAGGGGAGGGGAGGAGGGGAGAGGAGCAAAUGGUUAUUCUCAGGCGCUCCUUCUACAAACUUGGAGCAGAGGCCUUUGAGCUAAUUAAUUACAUUCUGUAUAUCUGAGCCAGCUAGCAGAGCUCCUCGCUGACACUCGGAUACAUCUGGGCCUGAUAACAAUUGCAAAUACUCAGGGCACACUUUAGGAAAAAAAAAAAAAAAAGGCUUAUGUUACAAUGUGCAACAGCACGUUUUACAGUCCUCGGAUCGGUCAGAUAAAUAAAACAGCUCGAGUCCAGGGCUUCGUGGGGGGAAACGUCCUUGGUAACAUUUCACCUAGAGCAGAAAAAUUUCCCCACUGACAAGGGACCAGUUUGACCCGAAGACAAUGUUCAGUUCCUCCGAGGGACAGUUUUGGAGAUUUGGGUCCGACGUGGGAGCGUAGAAGAGAAUUUACAAGAAGCUCCUUCUGCGCACCCAUCCGAGGAGCGGGUGUAGACAUGAAGAGACUGCGCGUUCCUCGGCCGCGUUCGGGGUAAAAGAUCAUGAGGCAAAUAAACACGGAUUUUCUUGAGGAAAAUGAAUGGGCCCAGGGACCACGUUUCAUGCCUUACUGAACCCCCGACUCACUCGCUUCGAAGGCCAUCUGUCCUUGAGACAAAAAGACCACUUUUUGAAAAAGAUGCCGUUGUUGGUGUGCGAAUCCUGGAAGGAGCCAAGAUUUGGGAAAAUUGUCUCUGCCACCUUCUAAGCUACUCUUCAUAUCAAGUAACACCCAACUCAUGGGAUUGGGACACGUUUUGUGCUCGAAUGAACGACAUCAUAAUAACGGACGACGGCGAUUCUUAGCCCUCCGUCCACCUCUUCACAGAGCGUCCGUACUUUCUAAGCCUUAUUUUGAAGGAGGUGUAAUUUCUACAGAACAGUACCAAGCAGAGAGAACUGUGGAUCUUCACUCACAAGAAAGUCAAAUUAACAACCAACCUGCUUUACUGAGACCUAUCCUGUUUGAGGCACUGUUAUGUUUAGUAUUAAGAAGGUCUAAGUUUUCUCAUCUUUAAAUGGGAAAUAUGAAACUCAAAGAAGUUAACAGCCACAUGCCCAAAGUCAAUCAGUCAGUGGGUAAGUAUCAGCGUUGGGGAUUUUUUUUCUUUUUUUUUAAUGUUUCUUUUUGAGAGGGAGAGAGACAGACAGAGUGUGAGCAGGGAAGGGCAGAGAGAAGAAGACACAGAAUCUGAAGCAUGCGCCAAGCUCCCAGUUGCCAGCACAGAGCCCAGUGCGGGGGGCUUGAACCCACAAACCGUGAGACCAUGACCUGAGCUGAAGUGGCAUGCUGAACCAACUGAGCCACGCAGGUGCCCCUCAGAGCUGGGAUUUUAACCCAGAUCAGUGGAUUAUACAGGAAGACCUCUGACUACCUGUCCACGCUGUGACUGGUAUGUGUGUGUGGAAGGCACUUGCCAUGCCUGUUUAAAAAACGAGUGGAAACAUCAAACAAAGUGAAUUUGCAUGAAAAGAGCAAUGAUGUCUCCAUCUUAUUCAAGACCUUCCAAUACAAAAGGCUUCCUCUAGAUGUCAGUUUCUUCUUCGCUGUUCUGGGGAUAUUGAAUUCACAGUGUGGCUUGGAGACCUAAUUGGUGUAAGACGUGGCGAGACCUGGAAGAUCCUGGCGCGCAGUAGACGGUAAGGAUGAUGACGUUGACCAUGAAGUUGACGACGACGACGAUGAUGAUGAUAAUGAUAACGAUGGCAUAAAUGUGUUUGUAGAGGAGGGGGUUUGAGAAUUCUGAAUUGGGGUCAGACUCAAUAUUUUAACAUGUUUUCCAUACUGAACUGAUGCAUCAAGACUGGGUGGGGCAGCAGGCAAGGUUUCCAGUGUUUUUCUCCACUUCACGUGCACCCUGUACAUUAUGAUCCGUGAUAACUUAGACCAGCAACCUCACCAGCAGAUGGAGAAAUGUCCCUAAUUGGGUCUACCAGCUCUGAAAUCAUACUGGAACCAGCUGGAUUGCCCAAGGUUUCCAGCCUCACGGCUGGUGGAGCAGAAUACUAAGGUCACCUGGAUCUCUUGGGAGUAUUACAAAAGCCUUGUUUCAGGCGUCACCUGGCUCUUUAAAAAUAUUUUUGAAUAAAAUGUAUACAGGCCUCUAUGAAUCUAUGCCC
rnacentral:lncRNA from 1 species